UACGAAGGGGCUAGCGUUGCUCGGAAUCACUGGGCGUAAAGCGCACGUAGGCGGCUUUGUAAGUUAGAGGUGAAAGCCUGGAGCUCAACUCCAGAAUUGCCUUUAAGACUGCAUCGCUUGAAUCCAGGAGAGGUGAGUGGAAUUCCGAGUGUAGAGGUGAAAUUCGUAGAUAUUCGGAAGAACACCAGUGGCGAAGGCGGCUCACUGGACUGGUAUUGACGCUGAGGUGCGAAAGCGUGGGAGCAAACAGG
rnacentral:rRNA from 1 species